UACGUAGGGACCAAGCGUUGUUCGGAUUUACUGGGCGUAAAGGGCGCGUAGGCGGCGUGACAAGUCACUUGUGAAAUCUCUGGGCUUAACCCAGAACGGCCAAGUGAAACUGUUGUGCUAGAGUGCAGAAGGGGCAAUCGGAAUUCUCGGUGUAGCGGUGAAAUGCGUAGAUAUCGAGAGGAACACCAGAGGUGAAGACGGGUUGCUGGGCUGACACUGACGCUGAGGCGCGAAAGCUGGGGGAGCGAACGGG
rnacentral:rRNA from 1 species